CAUAUGGUAUGUAUUAUGAUAAAGCCAGUGAUUCAUAUAAAAUAGGAGGCUACUCUGUAACUUUUAGUCAUGGUAACUUACAGUUAUUUAAUAAAUACUAUCCAUGGACUGAAGGACUAUGGUCUUUACUAUGUGAGAAAGAACCAAAAAAUACAACUCUACAAGAUAUGGAAUCUUAUUACGACAUUUUAAAAACUUCACGAGCUCAUUUAAAAGCAGAUGGGAAACCUAAAACCUCAAAGUUUCAUAAAUGGACGAAUGUUGUAAAACCUCUAUACGAUAGAAUGAAAAAUGAGGAAAAGCAAUUAAACGAAGAAAUAGAUAAAAUUAAUAACUCAAGAACUCCUCGAUUAAGUUUAGCACAAAUUACCGAUCAUUUAUCUAGAUCUAACACUAAACCAAACAGUUCUAUGACUACAGAUCCAAAAAUGAAAAAAUGUUUAAUUUUACUGCAACCCCAAAGGUUAAGAGAGGUUCUGGUUUAUAUAAAGAUGUAAUACCUCAAACACAAUUAGUUUAUUAUGACGAUCCGAAUGAACUAAAGAAUUACGCGAGAGAAAUAUUAUAGUAUAAUGACAAUCUUAACCAGUUUAGCUGAGGAGUUACAUGGACCAGCGAGAAAAAUAUUUCCUAGACGAAGCGUAGUGACACGGUUUAAAGAUGAUCUCUGGCAAGCUGAUUUAAUAGACAUGCAACCACAUUCUAGACAAAAUAAUGGUUUUAAAUUCAUUUUAAUUAUUAUAGAUACAUUUACCAAGUAUGUGUGGGUAGAAGCACUAAAAAAUAAAACAGCAAAGAAGUAUACAAAAGGUAUAAUAAAAAUAUUAAAAAAAAAUCAACCAAAAUUAUUACAAACAGAUAACGGAACAGAAUUUUACAAUAAUGAAUUUCAAAGUAUAAUGAAUAAGUAUCAUAUUAGACAUUAUUCAACAUACAGCAGUAUAAAGGCUGGUAUGGUUGAACGCGUUAUAAGAACAAUAAAAAAUAAAAUUUACAAAUAUUUUACAUCAACAGGUUCAUGGAAUUGGAUAAAUUCAAUUUUUAAAUUAGUAUAUAAUUAUAAUAAUACAAAACAUUCAACAAUAAAAUGUUCACCACACGAAGCUCGGAUCAACCCGGUUACAAUAAAAAAAAAAACAUUACAAAUUAAUACAUCAAAUAAACUUAAAUUUAAAAUUAAUGACAAAGUAAGAAUAUCUAAGUAUAAACAUAAUUUCAGUAAAGGUUAUACACCAAAUUGGUCAACAGAAGUGUUCACUAUUUCUAAAAUUUUAAAUACAGAUCCAUUAACUUAUCAACUAAAAGAUAGUUCAAAUAAUAUAAUAUUAGGCUGUUUUUAUACACAAGAAUUAAAAAAAACAUUUUUUCCCGACACCUUUCUCAUUGAACGUAUUA